GCCAGUGUGGCAUAGUAGUUUGAGCAUUGGACUAUGACUCUGGAGGCUAGGGUUCAAAUCUCACCUUGGUCA
rnacentral:tRNA from 1 species